rnacentral:rRNA from 1 species
GACGGAGGAUGCAAGCGUUAUCCGGAAUGAUUGGGCGUAAAGCGUCCGCAGGUGGCAGUUCAAGUCUGCUGUCAAAGACCGGGGCUUAACUUCGGAAAGGCAGUGGAAACUGAACAGCUAGAGUAUGGUAGGGGCAGAGGGAAUUCCUGGUGUAGCGGUGAAAUGCGUAGAGAUCAGGAAGAACAUCGGUGGCGAAGGCGGUUCUCUGGGCAUGACCUGACGCUGAGGAGCGAAAGUGUGGGGAGCGAACAGG